AAUGAUCUAGAAUAAUAUAUAAGUGACGGUUUUUCUUGGCUUAAGUAUCAUUCCUUGUCUAUCAGUUGUAAAAGCAACAUGAAGAUUGUAAGUUAUAUUUUAUUUGUGCUUGGUCUUGUUGCAUUGGGAGUAUUCCAAGCGGAAGCUGCAAAAGCUCCUCCAAUUAAACCCAUUCUUAAACACGUUCAUGUAGACAUUCACCAUCAUGACCAUGACUAGGACCAUAAUUAACACAUUUUUCAUUAACUUUGUUAUAACAUGAAUAAAAUAUAUUCUUACAUUGAAAA
rnacentral:lncRNA from 1 species